rnacentral:rRNA from 1 species
CCUACGGGACGCAGCAGUGAGGAAUAUUGGUCAAUGGACGAGAGUCUGAACCAGCCAAGUAGCGUGAAGGAUGACUGCCCUAUGGGUUGUAAACUUCUUUUAUAAAGGAAUAACACGAUGCACGUGUGCCUUUUUGCAUGUACUUUAUGACUAAGGAUCGGCUAACUCCGUGCCAGCAGCCUCGGUAAUACGGAGGAGCCGAGCGUUAUCCGGAUUUUUUUGGUUUAAAGGGAGCGUAGAUGGGUUGUUAAGUCAGUUGUGAAAGUUUGCGGCUCAACCGUAAAAUUGCAAUUGAUCCUGGCAGUCUUGAGUACAGUUGAGGUAAGCGGAAUUCGUGGUGUAGCGGUGAAAUGCUUAGAUAUCACGAAGAACCCCGAUUGCGAAGGCAGCUUACUAAGCUGUGACUGACAUUGAUGCUCGAAAGUGUGGGUAUCAAACAGGAUUAGAUACCCUUGUAGUC